UACCCCUGGCAAUGGGCAAGAGAACCCUUGAUGGUGGUAGUGUUCGUAUAUCAGUCAAGGGCAGAGCAGAUGGUAGUCUGUUGUUCAUCCUAGCUUGAUGCCUGGCUUGGUGGCCAAAGCUGUCUUAUGCCUAGGACUCAUAA